ACUCGUUAGCGCCUUACCUUAGGGUUUCCUCUGGGGUAAGUGAUUGCUUCUACACUGUGAAAAUUUGGCUGAGAGACUCAGACUGGUCAUGGGUAGACCUAUCUGGGGUUUGAUCGAUGCCACUCCUGGUUUCAGGAGUACCCUUCAUAAUAAACCUAGAAAUUCAGUAUUAUAAAGUUUAAUAAAAAACAACUUUUAACAAUGGAUCUCUUGGUUCUCGCAUCGAUGAAGAACGUAGCAAAGUGCGAUAACUAGUGUGAAUUGCAUAUUCAGUGAAUCAUCGAGUCUUUGAACGCAGCUUGCACUCUAUGGUUUUUCUAUAGAGUACGCCUGCUUCAGUAUCAUCACAAACCCACACAUAACAUUUGUUUAUGUGGUGAUGGGUCGCAUCGCUGUUUUAUUACAGUGAGCACCUAAAAUGUGUGUGAUUUUCUGUCUGGCUUGCUAGGCAGGAAUAUUACGCUGGUCUCAGGAUCUUUUUUUUUGGUUCGCCCAGGAAGUAAAGUACAAGAGUAUAAUCCAGUAACUUUCAAACUAUGAUCUGAAGUCAGGUGGGAUUACCCGCUGAACUUAAGCAUAUCAAUAA
rnacentral:rRNA from 1 species